CACUAGGCUCUUUUCAGAGCCACCAUACAUUAAGCAGGGUGACCAG
rfam:Operophtera brumata OBRT01_Sc08354, whole genome shotgun sequence.